GCCCUGCUAGCUCAAUCGGAUAGAGCGUCAGACUCUUAUACGUUGAAAACAACUAAUGUUAUCUGAAGGCUGCGAGUUCGACCCUCGCGUGGGGCU